rnacentral:misc_RNA from 1 species
AAGUCGUAACAAGGUUUCCGUAGGUGAACCUGCGGAAGGAUCAUUAACAAAUUCCACACACAAAUUUACACCGUGAAUCGGCCGGACAGCGGCUGCUUCGGCGGCUGCUGCUGGCAUUAAACACACACUGUUGACCGAAACACACGUGCCACUCUAGCAGCGGCAUAUGUAUAUUGUAUAUCAUCAUUACAACUUUUAACAAUGGAUCUCUUGGCUCUC